AGUGGCUCCUGAAAUGUUUUCCAGAGAGUUUUUAAUGAUAAUAUAAAAUGCAGCUACUUCUCAGAUAAAUAUCCAUCAGAAAUUAAUAACAAAUGCAUCAUGUAGAAGCUCAAUAAGAAGAACCUGCCACCUAUCAUCAUAAAAUGGGAUGCAUUUCAGCAAGAAGACAACAGGAUGUUGACAACAGCAAGAAGACCCAGGAUGUUUCUAAACCUUCGUCAUGUAAUCAUUAAGAUCCACCGAAAAUGCAUAUAUUAUGGUAAAAGUCUAAGAUUAUAUAAUUAUUACAUCUUGUCUUCUCAUUAUUAUUCAUUGUAUGAUGCCAACUUAAACUCAUAGCAAAGUAUUAAGUCUCAACUAGACCCUCAGAGUCUUUCAAGGGCUGAGCUUCAAAGCUUGGGCUCAUCCAUUCCUUUUCAUGGAAGCACAAGUGUGCUGCAGAAGAUGUCUCUCUCAGAAAACUUUGGCUGUGCUGGAAUAGAGGUGAUCUGUCACACAGCACCCUCUUUGAGGGCUAAGGAUGGUUAACAAGAGAAGAUCCACCCAGUACAGCAGGGCAAGGUGAUGUUUGCCAACAGGCUUCCCAGCCUAGAGAAGUGAGGUUUAGACUCAAAAGUGAGGUACUCUGGCUGUAGUGAGAGGUAGAGGAUGAAGAGAGGUUGGAGCAACAAAAAGCUCAAGAAUAACAAAACUGGGUUUAAAGAGCCCAAAGAGUUUUCCACAAAUGUUUAUACAGUAAAAAGAAGGAAGAUCCAGAGCUCCACAUGUGGUUUCUGAGAUCUGAUACUGUUCAUAUAACUGAAAUGUGGUGGGAUGUCUUGUGCAAAUGCUUGGUUAUGGUGGAACAAAACCAAACGCCUUCUUUAAACAACAUAAGGAAGGCUUUACAUCACACAUCACAUUCUUGUUCCUUGGAGAUUUUAAUAUCCCUAACUUCUGCUGGAAGGACAACACAGAAGGACACAGGCAGUUAUGACGAUUUCUGGGAGAAGUUAGGGAGAACUUCAAGUACAGAGUGUGCCAGCCAGGGAUGAGUCAUGGCUGGGUCAUAUAUAAUUGUCUGAGAAUGUUGGAAAGUUUGGUGGAUAUCAGUCUUGUAGCUUUGGUAAAAAUAAGCCUGAUGAAAACAAGACAAUUUGGCCUAUUGAACCUGGAGAAGACAAGGCUCUAGGGAUUGUUAUCUAAUCUAUUAUCAGCCUUCCAGUUCCAGUGAGUAGCAUUUUGAGAAUAUAUGGUGGGAUGAUGGGAUACUAAGGUGAAACAAGAAAGGCUAAAGCUGGAGCAGAAGAUUGGACUACAGACCUGAGACUCUUUCUAAAUCAAAUGAUCCUGUAGUGAGGGACAAGGAGUAGGAGAUUACUGCAUGCCAGGAUUAAGACACAGAUUUUGUUUUCAGUGAAAUGACACAAGUAUUCCAACAUGUAUUAAUGUAUUUAUUAUUUUAUUAUUGAAUUUAUUCUGCAACUGAAUGCAGAUAUUCUUAAGGCUGUCCAAAGAGUCUGUUAACACAGACACAAAGUCUUUACAUGUAUUAGAUUUUUACUUUGAUAAAUGAGUUUUCAGGAUUAUCCAUUACUUCAGAAGUAGACAACUACCUCUCUACUGGCUUGCUUAGGAUUUGUCUGCUGAGUGUGCUGAGUUCCUGAUUUAGAUGAUCUGUAAGUCCAUGAAUGGAUAAUUUAGUUCAUGGUGAUUAAGAUCUAGGAUUUAAUCAAAACCUGAGCUAGGCUACUUGAUCUCAUUAUGUGGUGAAGACAGACGUUGUGUAGCAGUUAAAACCUUAGAGAGAAAAACUGAAAAUAAUACAAGCAAAUUAGAGGGAAAAUAAAAGACGAAGUGAGGAUUUAAUCUAUUUCUGUACAAAAGUAGGAAUAAGUAAGUGCUGUCUCCUGCCUGUACUGAAAUUCCAAUUAUGUUAUUAUGUUAUGUAUUGUGUUCAUCUAGUGGUUGGGAGGGCCAUUUUACUUUUCAUUUUUAAACUUGAUUGUGAUAAUGUUUUUGUACUUGAAAGACAGUCUGCUGCAGGUAGGAUGUUCCACAUGCAAUGGAUCAGAACUCAAAUCAUUUUAGAAACAAACUAUAACAGACUACAUGUCAGCUUUCUUCCUAAAGAUCUCACAGGGCCUGCUCAUUUCAGAAACUCCUUUUCUCUGUCACUGCACAAUUAGCAAAGCAGCUCAUUAUGAAAUCUUUCAUUGUUAUAAAUAUAAGGAUUAAAAGGUGUUUUG
rnacentral:lncRNA from 7 species